rnacentral:rRNA from 1 species
GACGAACGCUGGCGGCGUGCCUAAUACAUGCAAGUAGAACGCACAGUUUAUACCGUAGCUUGCUACACCAUAGACUGUGAGUUGCGAACGGGUGAGUAACGCGUAGGUAACCUGCCCGGUAGCGGGGGAUAACUAUUGGAAACGAUAGCUAAUACCGCAUAAUAUUAAUUAUUGCAUGAUAAUUAAUUGAAAGGUGCAAUUGCACCACUACCAGAUGGACCUGCGUUGUAUUAGCUAGUAGGUGAGGUAACGGCUCACCUAGGCGACGAUACAUAGCCGACCUGAGAGGGUGAUCGGCCACACUGGGACUGAGACACGGCCCAGACUCCUACGGGAGGCAGCAGUAGGGAAUCUUCGGCAAUGGACGAAAGUCUGACCGAGCAACGCCGCGUGAGUGAAGAAGGUUUUCGGAUCGUAAAGCUCUGUUGUAAGAGAAGAACGGGUGUGAGAGUGGAAAGUUCACACUGUGACGGUAUCUUACCAGAAAGGGACGGCUAACUACGUG